rnacentral:rRNA from 1 species
UACGAAGGGGGCUAGCGUUGCUCGGAAUCACUGGGCGUAAAGCGCACGUAGGCGGAUCUUUAAGUCAGGGGUGAAAUCCCGGAGCUCAACUCCGGAACUGCCUCUGAUACUGAAGGUCUUGAGUUCGGGAGAGGUGAGUGGAACUGCGAGUGUAGAGGUGAAAUUCGUAGAUAUUCGCAAGAACACCAGUGGCGAAGGCGGCUCACUGGCCCGAUACUGACGCUGAGGUGCGAAAGCGUGGGGAGCAAACAGG